rnacentral:sRNA from 12 species
GACCUAACCCUUAUGGAUUUCAUAAGGUAUGGUCUAAAUCGUACAGCAUAAAGAACCCGUUAUUAGGGCGUGCUGUACGUUGCUAGAGGAAACUUUAGUAGGGUCGCAAGGCCU